ACGAACGCUGGCGGCGUGCUUAACACCUGCAAGUCGAACGGUAAGGCUCCAGCUUGCUGGGGUACACGAGUGGCGAACGGGUGAGUAACACGUGGGUGACCUGCCCUGCACUUCGGGAUAAGCCUGGGAAACUGGGUCUAAUACCGGAUAGGACCGCACCGUGAGGGUGUGGUGGAAAGUUUUUUCGGUGUGGGAUGGGCCCGCGGCCUAUCAGCUUGUUGGUGGGGUAAUGGCCUACCAAGGCGGCGACGGGUAGCCGGCCUGAGAGGGUGGACGGCCACAUUGGGACUGAGACACGGCCCAGACUCCUACGGGAGGCAGCAGUGGGGAAUAUUGCACAAUGGGCGGAAGCCUGAUGCAGCGACGCCGCGUGGGGGAUGACGGCCUUCGGGUUGUAAACUCCUUUCACCAUCGACGAAGGGUUUCUGACGGUAGAUGGAGAAGAAGCACCGGCUAACUACGUG
rnacentral:rRNA from 1 species